rnacentral:rRNA from 1 species
CCUAGGGGGGCUGCAGUGGGGAAUAUUGGACAAUGGGCGAAAGCCUGAUCCAGCCAUGCCGCGUGUGUGAAGAAGGCCUUCGGGUUGUAAAGCACUUUCAGUGGGGAAGAAAGCCUUGGGGCUAAUACCCUCGAGGAAGGACAUCACCCACAGAAGAAGCACCGGCUAACUCCAGUGCCAGCAGCCGCGGUAAUACGGAGGGUGCGAGCGUUAAUCGUAAUUACUGGGCGUAAAGCGCGCGUAGGCGGUCUGAUAAGCCGGUUGUGAAAGCCCCGGGCUCAACCUGGGAACGGCAUCCGGAACUGUCAGGCUAGAGUGCAGGAGAGGAAGGUAGAAUUCCCGGUGUAGCGGUGAAAUGCGUAGAGAUCGGGAGGAAUACCAGUGGCGAAGGCGGCCUUCUGGACUGACACUGACGCUGAGGUGCGAAAGCGUGGGUAGCAAACAGGAUUAGAUACCCCGGUAGUC